UACAGAGGGGGCAAGCGUUAUUCGGAAUCAUUGGGCGUAAAGGGCGCGUAGGCGGCUUGGCAAGUGGAAGGUGAAAUCCCUCGGCUUAACCGAGGAACUGCCCUCCAAACUGCUUUGCUUGAGGCCGGGAGAGGCGAGUGGAAUUCCCAGUGUAGCGGUGAAAUGCGUAGAUAUUGGGAGGAACACCAGUGGCGAAGGCGGCUCGCUGGACCGGUUCUGACGCUGAGGCGCGAAAGCGUGGGGAGCAAACGGG
rnacentral:rRNA from 1 species